GCCCCGGCCGCCUCUUCUGCGCCGAGGUUUUGGCACGCGGGGGCCUCGGGGGCCUCGGGAGACGAGGCUGGCAGGGGCAGGCACAGUUGGUGCGUGGCAAACCGAACCUGUCAAUUCCAGAAGCGUUUGGCACAUUGUUGAAGCGACUAGAUGACUUUGAGAAGUGUCUGCGUGUUUUUUCCCCAAGUGUAGUUAUUUUUGCCGCUGUGAAAUGUUCUGAAAUCUGACAGUUUUGUUUUGAGUCUUAGCCCGAUGUGAAGACAGAAAGGAACACUGCCUCCCAGUUCUGUGGCACUCGCUUCUUGGGGUCCCCUGAGGACACCCUGAUCCUGGCAGAGGUGGGCGAGGGGACGCCAGGUGACCGAGGUCUCCCAGGUGUGAGCGCACAGUGGGUCGGGCCUGGGAGCCUCCAGACCCACUCGGGGCCCGAGACCAAGGGCUGAUUUGGCCAAAGUUAAAGCACCUACUGUGCGCCGGGCCCUCGCACCAUUUAUCGAGCGCCCGCGAUGUUCAUCCUCAGACACAGACUAGGCACCUACUGUGUGUCAGGCCUCCGUCCACCCAACGUUUACCAGGCACCUGCCAUGUGGUGUAGAGACACCGGAGGGCUCUCGGCACGGGGCUGACAAGCUCCCCUUGCCGCGUUGCUGGCAGGAGGUGGGUGAGGGGGCUGCCGAAGGGGCGAAGACCCCGGAGGAGGGAGAGAUGACUCGGAUGCCGUCCCGGCUCCUCCAAAGCCCGCAGCCCAGCCGGGACCCUGCUGGGGAGCGGCCCAGGGCGGGAGGAUCCACGUGCAACAGGGGGACUGGACACCGUCCCCAUCCCCUCUGCCACCCUCUUCCCACCCUCUAGCUGACCCCACGCAGCCCACGUUGUCCCCGCCACGGGUGCCAUGUGCCCGGGCCGCUCCGGGCGUCCCACACCGCGUCUCUCGCCCGCAAACCUCUCACGGGCCUCCUCAGCGACGUGGGCCGCGCCUGGGUCUCCUGGGCGGGCAGCGUCGUGCCUGCCUUCUCCUCGGGGUCCCGGACUCCGAGCACAGGGUCAGAAGGCCGUAAGGUGACGUCGCUGAGAGCCGGCGGAGCGCCCGGCCUUACCUGCGUCGUCUCACCGGACCCCAGCGCCCCGGGGAGGCAGCGGGGACCGCAGUCCCCAUUUUCACAGACGACGGCACAGAGGCACAGAUGACUAAGUCACCCGAGGACACACAGCGAGUCCGGUGCCUCCCGGACAAAGCACAUCGUCAGGAGCUAGAGCAGCAGCAACUUCGGGUGUGCGUGGCCACGGGUCGCGCACCUGCCGCACUGUCGCCGCGGCGACCGACGACGCGGCCCUUUCCGGAGGGGCGAGCGAGGCCGGCACUGCAGCCUGAAGACGUGGCGAGGCCUCCCUCCCCCUCCCCAGCCCGCACGCAGGCCCGCGGCUGUGUCAGCCGGACCACAGGGCCGGCAGCCGUGACAAAGGUCCCCGCGGCCCAGUGAGCGGAACCUCUCCCGUGUCACAAGCCACGCAGGGCUCACGCGGCAGCUCCCGGUGGCCGGGGCACCGGCUGCUCCUAUUCCCAUCCCGCUGUCCUCCCGUACCUUCUACCUUGCCACUCAGGAAGCUGCUGCCCGGAGCCGCAGAUCCGCCGGGCAGCCAGGGGAAGACGGUAGACGAGAGCGGGCCGUGGGGCCCUUUCCGCAGGAAGCCGCACACGCGCGUUUUGCUUACGGCCCAUUGGUCACACGGCCACGGGCUGCGGUGAGGGAGGCAGGGGGCAUCCCCUUCGGUGGGCUGCCCUAUGCGGAGCUUGAACUUGAAGGGCUCUGCCCGGACAGAAAGAAAGGGCAGGUGGACUGGGGGACCGCUAACGAUCUAGGCCACAGGCCGGCCCUUUGGGGCCCGUGAUUCCCGCACAGACUCUCCCUUCUGUGCUCUGAGCGCACUCGGCCCCUUCCAGUGGGCGUGGCCCUGAGGUCCCUUCCAGGCUCUGUGUCCAGCCACACCCAGGAUCCGUGUGUGAUGCAUUUCGAGGCUGCUGUGACCCCUCAACGAAAGGGGAACCAUGGACCGUCAUGAAAAGGGCAAGUUCACGGCGGUGCAGGGACGGACUGCUGUAAAGAGUUGCCUUUGGCGGAGAGGAGGGUGGACCGUGGGGCAGCCGCUCUCCCAGGACCAGCCUCGCCGCGGCCCUGCGUCAGCCAGCCCUUUGGGGCCCCCGCGUCUGUCUGCUCGCUUGGACCACCUCGCCUGCUGUCCCCGCCGUCCUGGCUCUGUCCUCCCGGAGCGGGCACCUGCCCCACCGUCCGCCCUCAGCCCACACCUGAAGAAGCCCGGCAUGUGCUCAGCCUUCCUAACUCAUUUCUGGUUCUGUCCACAUUCCUGGGGCGUCCAGGAAUUUCUUUGGGGGCGGGUUACGAAAAACAACAGGCUUUUGAAAGCCAGGCUUGGGGUUUAUUUGGAAAUAUAAUUCCUUCUAAAACUAGUCAACUGCUGGUCCAUUUACAACCGGUUACUGCCAUGUUGCAUGUAACCCCACCUAGAGAUCUUGUCCAGACCUGGCUUUUUAUUCUCACGAAGUUGGUCUCUUCUUUCCAGGCCCAUCUUGCGGUUGACUUAUCUUGCUCAUUCAAGAGCAACUGCCUUGCUGUCCCCGGAAUCAACAGGCUUGGCCAGGGGGACAGCACUCCAUUCAGAUCGCGGCCCCAGGGCCGGCCCCCCUGUCCUGCUGGGGAUGCCUCCUGGGACCAACCUCUUCUCUUCCACCGAGACUGUGUCUCCAAAGCCAUCUGUCCAAACACGGGCAGUUCUGGAUGUGGAGCCACUGGGACGUCAGAAGCCUAGAUGCCGGGGAGCCCGCUGCUCUGUCCUCCACAAGAAACUCUGAGCUCACGGUCUCAGAUGGCUGCGGCAGCUCCCUCCAUCCCGUCUGCAUUCCAGCCAGGGCCAAGAGGAGAAGUCAUGCUCUGCCCCUUUCUCCGAGGCCCAGGGCUUGGAACGUGCACACGUCAACCCGCUCAUAGUCCAUAGUGAGGUGGGAUCUGAGGCUCGGGAUGUUCAGCCACCCACGUGCGUGUGCGCACGCGUGCGUUGCCCGGGUCUGUCUGCCCCUUCGUCCCGUGCUCUUCCCUCGGGCAGCCCCGUGGGGAAGAGGUGAGUCUGGGGGAGAAGCGAGACCCUCUGUUCCAAACCCCAAAGUGCGUGCGCCGUGGACCCAUACCACGGGAGGGAUUCCCGACCCGCCCUCGCGUACUUGUGGCCGUUUGCCUCGAGGCCCAGAUGCCCGCUGUGUGCCGCGGGUUCGUUACCAGCGGCCGCAGGCCCGGCAGGGUCCCUGUGCACCCCUUCCCUGCUGCACACGCCUCAGCUUUCCACCUGUGACCUGGGGCGGACACUUCUGUCCUGCGACUUCAUACGUCGCUGUGGGAAGUCCGGCGGGACCCGGGAGCCAACGGCCUGGGAGCUGUGAGCAGGUGCGUGUCCUGUGCUCGGCUGAGUACAGGCCCUGGGGCGACUCGGAUGAGACAGGGACGGAUUGCCCGGGUGGACCAUCGUGACCUCGAGGGUGCUCAUAAGGGAAGGAGGGACGUAGGUGAGGAGGGGCUCAGAGUCAGGGAAAAGGAGAUGUGAUGAUGAGGGAAGCGGAGGUCGUAAUGCUGCGACUCAAAGACGGAGAAUGGCGCUGGGAGCGAGGGAUGCGGGCGCCUCCAGAAGCUGGCCGUGGCCGGGAAACGGAUGCUCCCGCUAGAGCCUCCAGAAGGAGCUGGCUCCGCGACAUCUUGGUUCUAGCCCAGCGAGGCCACUUUGGACGCCUGACUUCCAGCACCGUCUAGUCAUAAAUUUGUGCUGUUUG